UACGAAGGGGGCUAGCGUUGCUCGGAAUCACUGGGCGUAAAGGGUGCGUAGGCGGAUUUCUAAGUCAGGGGUGAAAGCCUGAGGCUCAACCUCAGAACUGCCUUUGAUACUGGAAGUCUUUGAGACCGGAAGAGGUAAGUGGAACUGCGAGUGUAGAGGUGAAAUUCGUAGAUAUUCGCAAGAACACCAGUGGCGAAGGCGGCUUACUGGUCCGGUUCUGACGCUGAGGCACAAAAGCGUGGGGGAGCAAACAGGG
rnacentral:rRNA from 1 species